CUGAAUUACACCACCAACUUUCCUGCUUCUUCUGCUUGUAUGUACCAGAUGGAUCUGCACCUGGAAGGUCCAAAGGCCAGCGGUUGAAGCCAGAUAACCUAUGCCGGUGAUAUGAAGGACUUGUGCCACUAAGCUGAGGGAUCCACAUUGGAGCCAGCAAGUGAUGCUCACAGUGAAGAUCAGAGCUCCCCUGAUGAGAACAGCAGCCAUUCUCAGUGACAGCAAGGUCCUGAGCUCCUCCUCUGAUAAGAACAGCCUAGUUCACACCAGAAGAAGAAGAAGAAGAAGAGGAGGAGGAGGAGGAGGAGGAAGAAGGAAAAGAAAGAGGAGGAGGAGGAGGAGAAAGUUCAAUAUAAACCCUAUG
rnacentral:lncRNA from 1 species